ACGGGAGGCAGCAGUGGGGAAUAUUGGGCAAUGGGCGAAAGCCUGACCCAGCAACGCCGCGUGAAGGAAGAAGGUUUUCGGAUUGUAAACUUCUUUUAUCAGGGACGAAGGAAGUGACGGUACCUGAUGAAUAAGCCACGGCUAACUACGUGCCAGCAGCCGCGGUAGUACGUAGGUGGCAAGCGUUAUCCGGAUUUACUGGGUGUAAAGGGCGCGUAGGCGGGGAUGCAAGUCAGAUGUGAAAUCCAUGGGCUUAACCCAUGAACUGCAUUUGAAACGGUAUUUCUUGAGUGUCGGAGAGGUAGACGGAAUUCCUAGUGUAGCGGUGAAAUGCGUAGAUAUUAGGAGGGACACCAGUGGCGAAGGCGGUCUACUGGACGAUAACUGACGCUGAGGCGCGAAAGCGUGGGGAGCAAACAGGAUUAGAUACCCUGGUA
rnacentral:rRNA from 1 species